rnacentral:rRNA from 1 species
GACGAACGCUGGCGGCGUGCUUAACACAUGCAAGUCGAACGGUGAACUCCGCUUGCGGGGGGAUCAGUGGCGAACGGGUGAGUAACACGUGGGCAACCUGCCCUCAGCUCUGGGAUAACUCCAAGAAAUUGGGGCUAAUACCGGAUAUGACCGCUGACCGCAUGGUCUGGUGGUGGAAAGAUUUAUCGGCUGGGGAUGGGUCCGCGGCCUAUCAGCUUGUUGGUGGGGUAGUGGCCUACCAAGGCGACGACGGGUAGCCGGCCUGAGAGGGUGACCGGCCACACUGGGACUGAGGCACGGCCCAGACUCCUACGGGAGGCAGCAGUGGGGAAUAUUGCGCAAUGGGCGAAAGCCUGACGCAGCGACGCCGCGUGGGGGAUGACGGCCUUCGGGUUGUAAACCUCUUUCAGCAGGGACGAAGCGAAAGUGACGGUACCUGCAGAAGAAGCACCGGCCAACUACGUG